UACGUAGGGUGCAAGCGUUAAUCGGAAUUACUGGGCGUAAAGCGUGCGCAGGCGGCUUGCCAAGUUAGAUGUGAAAGCCCCGGGCUCAACCCGGGAACUGCGUUUGAAACUGGCAGGCUAGAGUUUGGCAGAGGGGGGUGGAAUUCCACGUGUAGCAGUGAAAUGCGUAGAGAUGUGGAGGAACACCGAUGGCGAAGGCAGCCCCCUGGGCCAAAACUGACGCUCAGGCACGAAAGCGUGGGGAGCAAACAGG
rnacentral:rRNA from 1 species